AGGCCGAAAGGCGUAGUCGAUGGGAAACAGGUUAAUAUUCCUGUACUUGGUGUUACUGCGAAGGGGGGACGGAGAAGGCUAUGUUAGCCGGGCGACGGUUGUCCCGGUUUAAGCAUGUAGGCUGAUUAUCCAGGCAAAUCCGGAUAAUCAAGGCUGAGGUGUGAUGACGAGGCACUACGGUGCUGAAGUAACAAAUGCCCUGCUUCCAGGAAAAGCCUCUAAGCAUCAGGUAACAUCAAAUCGUACCCC
rnacentral:rRNA from 2 species